rnacentral:rRNA from 1 species
AGAGUUUGAUUAUGGCUCAGGAUGAACGCUGGCGGCGUGCCUAACACAUGCAAGUCGAGCGAUUACUUCGGUAAAGAGCGGCGGACGGGUGAGUAACGCGUGGGUAACCUGCCUCAUACACAUGGAUAACAUACCGAAAGGUAUGCUAAUACAGGAUAAUAUAAGAGAUUCACAUGGAUUUUUUAUCAAAGCUCCGGCGGUAUGAGAUGGACCCGCGUCUGAUUAGCUAGUUGGUAAGGUAAUGGCUUACCAAGGCGACGAUCAGUAGCCGACCUGAGAGGGUGAUCGGCCACAUUGGAACUGAGACACGGUCCAAACUCCUACGGGAGGCAGCAGUGGGGAAUAUUGCACAAUGGGCGAAAGCCUGAUGCAGCAACGCCGCGUGAGUGAUGAAGGCCUUCGGGUCGUAAAACUCUGUCCUCAAGGGAGAUAAUGACGGUACUUGAGGAGGAAGCCCCGGCUAACUACGUGCCAGCCGCCGC